UACGAAGGGGGCUAGCGUUGCUCGGAUUGACUGGGCGUAAAGGGCGCGUAGGCGGUUUGUACAGUCAGACGUGAAAUUCCUGGGCUCAACCUGGGGGCUGCGUUUGAUACGUGCAGACUUGAGUUCGGAAGAGGGUCGUGGAAUUCCCAGUGUAGAGGUGAAAUUCGUAGAUAUUCGCAAGAACACCAGUGGCGAAGGCGGCUCACUGGCCCGAUACUGACGCUGAUGCACGAAAGCGUGGGGAGCAAACAGG
rnacentral:rRNA from 1 species